rnacentral:rRNA from 1 species
CACAUCAUGAAAGCCGCUUGUACCCGAAGUCGCUGUGCCAACUCGCAAGAGAGGCAGGUGCCGAAGGUAUGGGUGGUGAUUGGGAUG